GGGAUCUAAAUACUGCAAAUUUUUACACUCUUGCCAAUAGAAAACUGCUACUUUUUCUUAUAUUCAGUGAAUUCAUAGUGUAGGAUUUCUAAAUUAAACUGCAAAAGGAAACAUGUGGAUUUUUGGAUGGAAGGGACCAUCUGGGUUUUCUGCUUCUUCUACCGCAGAAGAAGUUACUCAAGGGAUUGAUGGAUCUGCUCUCACUGCCAUCGUUACAGGAGCAUCAAGUGGUAUUGGUGUAGAGACGACUCGCGUCCUCGCAUUGCGCGGUGUCCACGUAGUUAUGGCGGUAAGGAAUGCAGAUGCCGGUCAGAAUGUCAAAGAAUCAAUACUAAAAGAAAUCCCUCGUGCUAAGAUUGAUGUUAUGGACUUGGAUCUGAGCUCAAUGGCAUCAGUAAGGAAAUUUGCAUCACAAUAUCAAUCCUCUAAUCUUCCCUUGAACCUCCUAAUCAACAAUGCAGGGGUCAUGGCAAGUCCUUUCAUGUUAUCCCAAGAUAAGAUCGAGCUGCAGUUUGCGACCAACCAUUUAGGUCAUUUUCUUCUAACUGAUCUUUUGUUGGAGACUAUGAAAAGAACAGCGCGUGAAAGCGACAUAGAAGGGAGGAUUGUCAAUGUAUCUUCGGAAGGUCACCGGAUUGCAUACAGCGAGGGAAUUCGUUUCGAUAAAAUCAACGAUGAAUCAGGAUACUACACUUGGUAUGCUUACGGACAAUCAAAGCUUGCUAACAUAUUACAUGCCAAGGAGCUUGCACGGCGUCUAAAGGAAGAAGGGGUGGAGAUUACUGCAAAUUCACUUCAUCCUGGAGCAAUUAUUUCGACCAAUCUUAUGCGCCACCAUGGUUUAAUCAACACCGUUGGUCAAAUGUUGGGAAAAUACUUCCUCAAAAAUAUUCCACAGGGAGCUGCCACUACAUGCUAUGUUGCAUUAAAUCCACAAGUCAAAGGUGUUAGUGGAGAAUAUUUCUUAGACAGCAACAUAGGUAACCCGAGCGCUAAGGCGAAGGAUGCAGAUUUGGCAAAAAAACUAUGGGACUUCAGCUGCACCUUGACCAACCCCAAGUAGUUAGUUGGUUCACAAAGCCUUAUCGAGACGAGCUGAAGAUGUUCGAUGCUUAGUGCUGGAGUAUUUGAAGUGCCUGUUCGUCGGAACAUGAUGAAGCCAAGAGCAAGCAGUGUGGACACCCCAACAUUAUUGAUACUCAAAUUCCCAGUAACGAACAUUCAACAGAAAAAUUAUAUUAUCAACAGCGCAUAUAAGACCUGGUACAAAAGAGAGAUAUAUGUAAGAGUUCUAGAUUCAAGGUAUAUUACUUAAAAAUUAGCUAUUAUGGCAAGAAUACUAAGAAGUUUCUUACUA